CGUACCUUUUGUAUAAUGGGUCAGCGACUUAGUGUUGCGUGCAAGCUUAAGCCGAUAGGUGUAGGCACAGCGAAAGCGAGUCUUAAUAGGGCGAAUGAGUACGUAGCAUUAGACCCGAAGGCAAGUGAUCUAGAUAUGGGCAGGCUGAAGGUGCAGUAACAUGCACUGGAGGGCCGAACCGUUGAGCGUUGAAAAGCUCUCGGAUGACCUGUGUCUAGGGGUGAAAGGCCAAUCAAACUCGGUGAUAGCUGGUUCUCCCCGAAAUGCAUUUAGGUGCAGCGUUGCGUGGUUCUUGUUGGAGGUAGAGCACUGGAUGGUCUAGGGGGCUUAUCGGCUUACCGAAAUCAGCCAAACUCCGAAUGCUGGCAAGUGUAGCGUGGCAGUGAGACGGCGGGGGAUAAGCUUCGUCGUCGAGAGGGAAACAGCCCAGAUCGCCGGUUAAGGCCCCUAAGGGUGUACUAAGUGGAAAAGGAUGUGGGAUCGCGAAGACAGCCAGGAGGUUGGCUUAGAAGCAGCCAUCCUUUAAAGAAAGCGUAACAGCUCACUGGUCUAAUUAAGAGGUCCUGCGGCGAAGAUGUAACGGGGCUCAAGACACGCACCGAAGCUUAGGGUGUGAUC
rnacentral:rRNA from 1 species